rnacentral:rRNA from 1 species
CCCGUCGUUACGGCCCUACCGAGUAAGCGCUAGUCGAGAUUAGACCGUGCCUGCCUCUGAAGGUUCGCUUUCGGUUCGCUCGCUGGGUGGUUGGACCUUUGUGUCUUGCUUUCGCAGGAUUCCGACACUCUCACUCUGCGCAGCAGCUGAUGCGACGAUUGGCGCUCAUGGUUUCUGGCGUUUUAGUCGGCCACCCAUUCGACCCGUCUUGAAACACGGACCAAGGAGUCGUACAUGUGCGCAAGUCAUUGGGUGCUAAAACCUAAAGGCGUAAUGAAAGUGAAGGCUGACGUCAGUUGGCUGAAGUGGGAUCCCCGUCUCACGACAGGGCGCACCACUGGCCCGUGCCAACUCCUCUGCGGGUAGCGCGGCGCUAUAGCGUGCAUGUUCGGACCCGAAAGAUGGUGAACUAUGCUUGAGUAGGGUGAAGCCAGAGGAAACUCUGGUGGAAGCCCGAAACGGUUCUGACGUGCAAAUCGAUCGUCAG